GAUGAACGCUGGCGGCGUGCCUAAUACAUGCAAGUCGAGCGAACGGAUGAGAAGCUUGCUUCUCUGAUGUUAGCGGCGGACGGGUGAGUAACACGUGGAUAACCUACCUAUAAGACUGGGAUAACUUCGGGAAACCGGAGCUAAUACCGGAUGAUAUUUUGAACCGCAUGGUUCAAAAGUGAAAGACGGUCUUGCUGUCACUUAUAGAUGGAUCCGCGCUGCAUUAGCUAGUUGGUAAGGUAACGGCUUACCAAGGCAACGAUGCAUAGCCGACCUGAGAGGGUGAUCGGCCACACUGGAACUGAGACACGGUCCAGACUCCUACGGGAGGCAGCAGUAGGGAAUCUUCCGCAAAGGGCGAAAGCCUGACGGAUCAACGCCGCGUGAGUGAUGAAGGUCUUCGGAUCGUAAAACUCUGUUAUUAGGGAAGAACAUAUGUGUAAGUAACUGUGCACAUCUUGACGGUACCUAAUCAGAAGGCCACGGCUAACUACGUG
rnacentral:rRNA from 1 species